ACAUUAAUGUCACUCUGCUGUCUAUCUGUCUGUCCGCGUGUCACAGGUCUCUAGCUCGAAGACGAAAUGAGUUAUAAACCUGAAAUUUUGUUAACAACAACU